rnacentral:piRNA from 1 species
UGAGUCACUGAAAACAACUAUAGC